CUUACUAUUUUUUUUCAGCUUCUGGGCUUUAUACUUGAUUUAAUGGCGUCAAUAGUCCACAAUGUUUUAGAGCUCCAUAGCCAUCUUAAAGCUGAUAUUAAUAUUCCUGGCCUUUGGCAAUGAAUAAUGAGUUAUGCUGCAGAUAACCAAAUUAGGAAAGAAUCUCCAGGGGAAGCCCUAGAAGAAUGGCCUGUGGCAGGGUUCUAGGAGCAGCUGAGGCGCAGCGGCUGUCCAGACAGGGCAGCGUGGCGGCCAUGGUGGCCUGCCUCCACAGGCUUCCACUUACUGAGCAAACAGGUCAGUGACCGAUGCCACCAAAUGCCCCUUGUGGGGAGGUGUCCCAGGUCACACACACAGGAGAUCAGGGGCCCGAAGCGGAACCACAGGAGUGCUCGGCCCUGUUCCCGACAUGGUUUUGUUGGUGGUGACUUAAAGACAGACCAACAGAAAGCCCUUCUGGGGCCUGAGAGAGCUUUUUGUUGUGGUGACCAAGCCCGCUGGCCCGCGCCUCGGUCGUGGUGGUUCGCCAGCUCUGCUGGGAGUCCCGUGUUCACGCAUCAAGGGAAGGAGCUACUUCCCUCCUGGAGCAACGGCACUUGCAGUUACGAGCUGAGCGGAGUCUCCCCGCCAUGGCUCGUGCUCGCCCACUGAUACCGGCGUGCUCCGAAAAGGGGGAGUCCUCUGGCAAAAAUGUCACUUUGCCUGCAGUCUUCAAGACUCCCAUCGACCAGAUGUUUGAACUUCGUUCACACCAACUUGCAUAAAAACAACAGACAGCACUAUGCUGUCAGUGAAUUAGCAGGUCAUCAGAGUCUUGAAGUACUGGCAGGGCUGUGGCUAGAAUUCCCAGAGUUCGAGGUGGUGGGACUCGCCGUUCUGGCCAGGGUGCUUUUGGAAACAUGUGUCGUGGGGCCGCAUGUUUGCACCAACCAAGACUUGGCGUUGCUGGCACCGUAGAGUGAACACCACCCAAAAGCGGUGUGCCACCUGCUCUGCCCGGGCUGCUCCAGCCUGACCAGCGCUGGUCAUGUCUAAAGGUCAUCGUAUUGAGGAAGUUCCUGAACUUCCUUUGGUGGUCGAAGAUAAAGUUGAAGGCUACAAGAAGACCAAAGAGGCUGUUAUGCUUCUUAAGAAACUUAAGGCCUGGAAUGACAUCAAAAAGGUCUAUGCCUCUCAGCGAAUGAGGGCUGGCAAGGGCAAAAUGAGAAGCCGUCGUCGUGUCCAGCGCAGGGGACCCUGCAUCAUUUACAACGAGGACAAUGGUAUCAUCUAGGCUUUCAGGAACAUCCCUGGAAUCACUCUGCUUAACGUAAGCAAGCUGAACAUUUUGAAACUUGCUCCUGGUGGACAUGUGGGACGUUUCUGCAUCUGGACUGAAAGUGCCUUCCGGAAGUUGGAUGAAUUAUAUGGCACUUGGCGUAAAGCUGCUUCCCUCAAGAGCAACUACAACCUUCCCACGCACAAGAUGAUCAACACGGACCUUAGCAGAAUCUUGAAAAGCCCAGAGAUCCAGAGAGCUCUUCGAGCACCACGCAAGAAGAUUCAUUGCAGAGUCCUGAAGAAGAAUCCACUGAAAAACCUGAGAACCACAUUGAAGCUAAACCCAUAUGCAAAGACCACGCGCCGGAAUGCCGUUCUUCACCAGGCCAGGAAUCACAAACUUCGGGGAUGAGGCAGCUGCAGCAGUACGGGCCAAAUCUGAUGAGAAGGGGGAUGGAGGCAAAAAGCCUGUAGUAGUGAAGAAAGGAAAAACGCUUGUUGGUGUUAAGAAGCAGAAAAAGCCUUUGGUGGGAAAAAAGGCUGCCUCUACCGAGAAACCAGCAGCUGAAAAGAAGCCAGCAGAAAGGAAACCUACCACAGAAGAAAAGAAGCCUACUGCAUAAACUCUUAAAUUUGUUUAUUCCAUAAAGGUAAAAUCAUUUUGGACAGCUUAUUUUGAACAAAGACCUGAUCAAAGAGACAGUGAAAAAAAAAAAAAAAAAA